rnacentral:rRNA from 1 species
AUGCUUCCUUCGCGCCAUCUCCGCGCCGCCGUGCGGCAGAGAAGCCACCGCCCCCCAGCCGCCGGAGAAGCCUUCUCCGGAAAGCUCGAUGCGGAUGUGAUCCGGCGCAACAAGGCCAUCACGGUCCACAUGCGCGCCGGCCGCGUCGGCGAGGCCGAGCGCCUAUUUGACGCCAUGCCCAGCCGCUCCACCUCCACCUACAACGCCAUGCUCGCCGGGUAUGCCUCCAAUGGACGCCUCCCUGUCGCGCUCUCCCUCUUCCGCUCCAUCCCACGCCCGGACACAUUCUCCUACAACACUCUCCUCCAUGCGCUUGCAGUCUCAUCGUCCCUCACUGACGCCCGUAGCCUGUUCGACCAAAUGCCGGUGAAGGACUCAGUGACAUACAACGUCAUGAUCUCGUCUCAUGCCAACCAUGGACUUGUCUCUCUUGCACGGAAGUACUUCGAUCUUGCUCCGGAGAAGGAUGCUGUCUCAUGGAACGGCAUGCUUGCUGCUUAUGUCCGGAAUGGACGGGUUCAAGAAGCAAGGGAGUUGUUUAAUUCAAGGACAGAGUGGGAUGCCAUUUCUUGGAACGCCUUGAUGGCUGGGUAUGUGCAGUUGGGUCGGAUGGCAGAAGCACAGGAGCUUUUUGAUAGGAUGCCACAAAGAGAUGUUGUUUCCUGGAACACCAUGGUCUCAGGUUAUGCCAGGGGAGGGGAUAUGGUGGAGGCAAGAAGGAUGUUCGACAUGGCACCCGUGCGUGAUGUGUUCACAUGGACAGCAGUAGUUUCUGGGUAUGCGCAAAAUGGAAUGCUGGAGGAUGCCCGGAUGGUGUUUGAUGCCAUGCCUGAGAGGAACCCAGUGUCAUGGAAUGCAAUGGUGGCAGCUUAUGUCCAGCGGAGGAUGAUGGAGAAAGCAAAGGAGCUGUUUGACAUCAUGCCUUGCAGGAAUGUGGCGUCAUGGAACACAAUGUUGACAGGGUAUGCUCAGGCAGGGAUGUUGGAUGAGGCAAGGGCAGUUUUUGACAUGAUGCCACAGAAAGAUGCAGUCUCUUGGGCUGCAAUGUUGGCUGCAUACGCACAAGGUGGUUUCAGUGAGGAAACCCUACAGCUGUUCAUCAAAAUGGGGCGGUGCGGUGAGUGGGUGAAUAGGUCAGCAUUCGCUUGUUUGUUGAGCACAUGUGCUGACAUUGCUGCACUAGAGUGUGGAAUGCAGCUGCAUGGGAGGUUGAUUAAAGCUGGAUACGGGUUGGGUAGGUUUGUUGGGAAUGCGCUCUUAGCUAUGUACUUCAAAUGUGGAAACAUGGAGGAUGCUCGAAAUGCAUUUGAGCAGAUGGAGGACAGGGAUGCAGUUUCUUGGAAUACUGUGAUCGCCGGUUAUGCACGUCAUGGUUUUGGCAAGGAAGCACUUGAGGUGUUCGAUAUGAUGAGAGCGACAUCAACCAAGCCAGAUGAUAUUACUCUAGUUGGAGUACUUGCAGCUUGUAGUCAUUCUGGCUUGGUUGAGAAAGGCAUUUCAUACUUUUAUUCGAUGCACCGCGAUUUCGGUGUGACAGCGAAGCCUGAACAUUAUACUUGUAUGAUAGACUUGCUUGGACGAGCUGGUCGAUUAGAUGAAGCACAGGGCCUUAUGAAGGACAUGCCAUUUGAGCCAGACGCUACCAUGUGGGGUGCAUUGCUUGGUGCGAGUAGGAUCCACCGCAACUCCGAACUAGGCAAGAGUGCAGCUGAGAAAAUAUUUGAGUUGGAGCCUGAAAAUGCUGGCAUGUAUGUCUUGCUUUCAAAUAUAUAUGCAUCUUCUGGCAAAUGGCGUGAUGUGGGGAAGAUGAGAGUUAUGAUGGAGGAUCGCGGUGUGAAAAAAGUGCCUGGAUUCAGUUGGAUGGAAGUACAAAACAAAGUACACACUUUCUCGGUUGGUGACUGUGUGCACCCCGAAAAGGAAAAGAUAUAUGCUUUCCUGGAAGACCUUGACAUGAGGAUUAAGAAAGCUGGCUAUGUGUCAGCUACAGAAAUGGUUUUGCAUGAUGUGGAGGACGAAGAGAAGGAACACAUGCUAAAGUAUCAUAGCGAGAAGCUUGCUGUUGCUUAUGGUAUUCUAAAUAUUCCUGUUGGGAGGCCUAUCCGAGUGAUCAAAAACCUCAGAGUAUGCGGAGAUUGUCACAAUGCUUUCAAGUAUAUCUCUGCAAUUGAGGGCAGGCUGAUCAUCCUGCGGGACUCUAACCGCUUUCACCACUUCAGAGAUGGUUCUUGUUCCUGUGGUGAUUACUGGUGA